AUUGAACGCUGGCGGCAUGCCUUACACAUGCAAGUCGAACGGUAACGGGCCUUCGGGUGCCGACGAGUGGCGAACGGGUGAGUAAUGCAUCGGAACGUACCUUUCAGUGGGGGAUAACGUAGCGAAAGUUACGCUAAUACCGCAUAUUCUGUGAGCAGGAAAGCAGGGGAUCGCAAGACCUUGCGCUGAUUGAGCGGCCGAUGUCAGAUUAGCUAGUUGGUGAGGUAAAGGCUCACCAAGGCGACGAUCUGUAGCGGGUCUGAGAGGAUGAUCCGCCACACUGGAACUGAGACACGGUCCAGACUCCUACGGGAGGCAGCAGUGGGGAAUUUUGGACAAUGGGGGCAACCCUGAUCCAGCCAUGCCGCGUGAGUGAAGAAGGCCUCGGUU
rnacentral:rRNA from 1 species